rnacentral:rRNA from 1 species
CGAAACGAAGUGAUCUAUCCAUGAGCAGGUUGAAGCUAGUGUAAGAACUAGUGGAGGACCGAACCCGCUAGCGUUGAAAAGCUAUGGGAUGACUUGUGGAUAGGGGUGAAAGGCCAAUCAAACUUCGUGAUAGCUGGUUCUCUCCGAAAUAUAUUUAGGUAUAGCGUUGUGUCGUAACUAAAGGGGGUAGAGCACUGAAUGGGCUAGGGCAUACACCAAUGUACCAAACCCUAUCAAACUCCGAAUACCUUUAGUGUAAUCACAGCAGUCAGGCGGCGAGUGAUAAAAUCCGUCGUCAAGAGGGAAACAACCCAGACUAACAGCUAAGGUCCCCAAAUCUUACUUAAGUGGAAAACGAUGUGAAGUUACUUAAACAACCAGGAGGUUGGCUUAGAAGCAGCCAUCCUUUAAAGAAAGCGUAAUAGCUCACUGGUCUAGUGAUUUUGCGCGGAAAAUAUAACGGGGCUAAAGUAAGUACCGAAGCUUUAGGCUUGAUUUAUCAAGCGGUAGGAGAGCGUUCUAUUUGCGUCGAAGGUAUACCGACAAGGAGUGCUGGAGCGAAUAGAAGUGAGCAUGCAGGCAUGAGUAGCGAUAAUUAAUGUGAGAAUCAUUAACGCCGUAAACCCAAGGUUUCCUACGCGAUGCUCGUCAUCGUAGGGUUAGUCGGGUCCUAAGCUGAGUCCGAAAGGGGUAAGCGAUGGCAAAUAGGUUAAUAUUCCUAUACCAACAUUAGUGUGCGAUGGAAGGACGCUUAGGGCUAAGGGGGCUAGCGGAUGGAAGUGCUAGUCUAAGGUCGUAGGAGGUUAUACAGGCAAAUCCGUAUAACAAUACUCCGAGAACUGAAAGGCUUUUUGAAGUCUUCGGAUGGAAAGAAGAACCCCUGAUGCCGUCGAGCCAAGAAAAGUUUCUAAGUUUAGCUAAUGUUGCCCGUACCGUAAACCGACACAGGUGGGUGGGAUGAGUAUUCUAAGGCGCGUGGAAGAACUCUCUUUAAGGAACUCUGCAAAAUAGCACCGUAUCUUCGGUAUAAGGUGUGCCUCCCUUUGUAUUAGAAUUCACUUCGAAAGCAAAGAAGGUUACAACAAAGAGUCCCUCCCGACUGUUUACCAAAAACACAGCACUCUGCUAACUCGUAAGAGGAUGUAUAGGGUGUGACGCCUGCCCGGUGCUCGAAGGUUAAUUGAUGGGGUUAGCAUUAGCGAAGCUCUUGAUCGAAGCCCGAGUAAACGGCGGCCGUAACUAUAACGGUCCUAAGGUAGCGAAAUUCCUUGUCGGUUAAAUACCGACCUGCAUGAAUGGCGUAACGAGAUGGGAGCUGUCUCAAAGAGGGAUCCAGUGAAAUUGUAGUGGAGGUGAAAAUUCCUCCUACCCGCGGCAAGACGGAAAGACCCCGUGGACCUUUACUACAGCUUGACACUGCUAUUUGGAUAAGAAUGUGCAGGAUAGGUGGGAGGCUUUGAGUAUAUGACGCCAGUUGUAUAUGAGCCAUUGUUGAGAUACCACUCUUUCUUAUUUGGGUAGCUAACCAGCUUGAGUUAUCCUCAAGUGGGACAAUGUCUGGUGGGUAGUUUGACUGGGGCGGUCGCCUCCCAAAUAAUAACGGAGGCUUACAAAGGUUGGCUCAUAGCGGUUGGAAAUCGCUAGUAGAGUAUAAAGGUAUAAGCCAGCUUAACUGCAAGACAUACAAGUCAAGCAGAGACGAAAGUCGGUCUUAGUGAUCCGGUGGUUCUGUGUGGAAGGGCCAUCGCUCAAAGGAUAAAAGGUACCCCGGGGAUAACAGGCUGAUCUCCCCCAAGAGCUCACAUCGACGGGGAGGUUUGGCACCUCGAUGUCGGCUCAUCGCAUCCUGGGGCUGGAGCAGGUCCCAAGGGUAUGGCUGUUCGCCAUUUAAAGCGGUACGCGAGCUGGGUUCAGAACGUCGUGAGACAGUUCGGUCCCUAUCUGCCGUGGGCGUAAGAAGAUUGAAGAGAUUUGACCCUAGUACGAGAGGACCGGGUUGAACAAACCACUGGUGUAGCUGUUGUUCUGCCAAGAGCAUCGCAGCGUAGCUAAGUUUGGAAAGGAUAAACGCUGAAAGCAUCUAAGCGUGAAGCCAACUCUAAGAUGAAUCUUCUCUAAGCUCUCUAGAAGACUACUAGUUUGAUAGGCUGGGUGUGUAAUGGAUGAAAGUCCUUUAGCUGACCAGUACUAAUAGAGCGUUUGGCUUAUCUUAUAAAUA